ACAAGGAGCAAGUCUGAGGUGGCGACCGGCGCACGGUGAGUAACACGUAUGCAACCUGCCUGUAAGCGGGGAAGUAACCCGUUGAAAGACGGACUAAUACCGCAUAAUACUAAAUUACUGCAUGGUAAUUUAUUUAAACAUUUAUGGCUUACAGAUGGGCAUGCGCAUGAUUAGCUAGUUGGAGAGGUAACGGCUCCCCAAGGCAACGAUCAUUAGGGGUUCUGAGAGGAAGGUCCCCCACACUGGUACUGAGACACGGACCAGACUCCUACGGGAGGCAGCAGUGAGGAAUAUUGGUCAAUGGACGAGAGUCUGAACCAGCCAAGUCGCGUGCAGGAAGAAUGUCCUAAUGGAUUGUAAACUGCUUUUGCAGGGGAAUAAAGUGCAUCACGUGUGAUGUUUUGUAUGUACUCUGCGAAUAAGGAUCGGCUAACUCCGUGCCAGCCGCAGC
rnacentral:rRNA from 1 species